UACGUAGGGGGCAAGCGUUGUCCGGAUUUAUUGGGCGUAAAGAGCGUGUAGGCGGCCAGAUAGGUCAGCUGUGAAAACUCGAGGCUCAACCUCGAGACGCCGGUUGAAACCAUUUGGCUAGAGUCCGGAAGAGGAGAGUGGAAUUCCUGGUGUAGCGGUGAAAUGCGCAGAUAUCAGGAAGAACACCCGUGGCUAAGGCGGCUCACUGGACCACAACUGACGCUGAGGCGCGAAAGCUAGGGGAGCAAACAGG
rnacentral:rRNA from 1 species